AUUGAACGCUGGCGGCAGGCCUAACACAUGCAAGUCGAGCGAGCGGCGGACGGGUGAGUACUGUCUGGGAAACUGCCUGAUGGAGGGGGAUAACUACGGGAAAAGGUAGCUAAUCCCGCAUACCAUCAGAUGUGCGCCGAUGGGGUUAGCUAGUAGGUGGGGUAACGGCUCACCUAGGCGACGAUCCCUAGCUGGUCUGAGAGGAUGACCAGCCACACUGGAACUGAGACACGGUCCAGACUCCUACGGGAGGCAGCAGUGGGGAAUAUUGCACAAUGGGCGCAAGCCUGAUGCAGCCAUGCCGCGUGUAUGAAGAAGGCCUUCGGGUUGUAAAGUACUUUCAGCGGGGAGGCGUUACCCGCAGAAGAAGCACCGGCUAACUCCGUGCCAGCAGCCGCGGUAAUUC
rnacentral:rRNA from 1 species